CAGCGCAGCCAUCCGGGUGCCUUUCCACUUCAAGUGGCCGGGGACAUUUUCUCUUAUUAUUGAGGCAUGGAAUGCAGAGUCUCCCAAAGAGCAUCAUGACUACACAGAGAAUCAGAACAACCUGAUCAGUCGUUUAGCAACACGAAGGCGAUUGGCGAUUGGAGAAGACUGGUCUCAGGAUGUUCAUUUUGGCGAUCAGAGCGAGCUCCGUUACUCGUAUCAUGUUUUCUGUGAUGAAUUUUACUUCGGCGAGGCAUGUUCGGAUUACUGCCGUCCCCGUGACGACACGCUGGGACACUACACCUGCGAUGAGAACGGCAACAGGGAAUGCCUGGAGGGAUGGCAGGGAGACUAUUGCUCUGACCGUGAGUACCACCUAUGUGUCUUUAUGGGGUAGUAUGUGACUCUGGGACUCUGAAAAGAAGCACUCCCACUCCCUCUCCUGAUCACUCUGUAUUUAUGUGUGAUUGUGGUUUGUGUGUGUUUGAACCUGAGCAGCAGCAAUACAUCCCCUUAUCUCUCAAAUCUUUGUGUGCAUGUGUUGUCUGAUGGAAGCUGAGCUGCUCCACUGGAGCUUCUACACUUAUUUUGUUCAGCCGAACAAAGAAAACCUACAGAUACAUACUAGAGGGUCGUUCUGUGUGUGUGUGUGCACGCUUGCCACAGCUCAAAAUACAAAAGAGUGCAUUACCUCUGUCAGCUCACCAGCUGCUGGCCCCAACACUUAACACACCCA